GAUGAACGCUGGCGGCGUGCCUAAUACAUGCAAGUCGAGCGAACGGACGAGAAGCUUGCUUCUCUGAUGUUAGCGGCGGACGGGUGAGUAACACGUGGAUAACCUACCUAUAAGACUGGGAUAACUUCGGAAAACCGGAGCUAAUACCGGAUAAUAUUUUGAACCGCAUGGUUCAACAGUGAAAGACGGUCUUGCUGUCACUUAUAGAUGGAUCCGCGCUGCAUUAGCUAGUUGGUAAGGUAACGGCUUACCAAGGCAACGAUGCAUAGCCGACCUGAGAGGGUGAUCGGCCACACUGGAACUGAGACACGGUCCAGACUCCUACGGGAGGCAGCAGUAGGGAAUCUUCCGCAAUGGGCGAAAGCCUGACGGAGCAACGCCGCGUGAGUGAUGAAGGUCUUCGGAUCGUAAAACUCUGUUAUUAGGGAAGAACAAAUGUGUAAGUAACUAUGCACAUCUUGACGGUACCUAAUCAGAAAGCCACGGCUAACUACGUG
rnacentral:rRNA from 1 species